UGGAGAGUGGCUCAAUGGUAGGGCACAUGCCUAGCUAGCAUGUGUGAAGCCUGAGGUUCCAUCCCCAGCACUGCUG
rnacentral:tRNA from 1 species